AUGUUGUCUGCAUCCUCAAAACCAAAGGUUGCCAUCAUUCGUGAAGAAGGGAGUAACAGUGACAGGGAAAUGUCUGCUGCAUUCCAUGUUGCUGGUUUUGAACCGUGCGAUAUCACAAUGUCAGAUCUCUUGAACCAAAAGGCUUCUCUAACGGAAUUCCGUGGGAUUGCAUUUGUUGGUGGAUUUAGCUAUGCAGAUGUUCUUGAGUCAGCAAAAGGUUGGGCUGCAUCUAUCAGGUUCAACCAGCCCCUCAUACAGCAGUUCCAGGAGUUCUACAAUAGGCCAGACACAUUCAGCCUUGGGGUGUGCAAUGGGUGUCAGCUCAUGGCUCUUCUUGGUUGGGUACCAGGACCCGAUAUUGGAGGCUCGCUUGGUGCAGGUGGAGACAUGUCCCAGCCAAGGUUCACUCACAAUGAAUCUGGCCGUUUUGAAUGUCGGUUUAUCAGUGUGGCCAUAGGGGAUUCUCCUUCUAUAAUGUUCAAAGGUAUGGAAGGCUCUACUUUGGGCAUUUGGAGUGCUCAUGGUGAAGGGAGAGCCUUAUUCCCAGAUGAAAAUGUCUUAUCUGAUGUUGUCAAUUCAAAUCUGGCCCCUCUGAGGUACUGCGAUGAUGCUAAUAAUGUCACAGAGGUUUAUCCUUUCAACCCUAAUGGCUCUCCGCUUGGUAUUGCGACCCUUUGCUCCCCUAAUGGAAGACACCUUGCUCUGAUGCCACACCCGGAGCGUUCCUUUAUGAUGUGGCAAUACCCAGGGUAUCCCAAGGAGUGGCAGGUUGAGAAGGGUGGUCCCAGUCCUUGGUUGCGCAUGUUCCAGAAUGCAAGAGAAUGGUGUUCAUAG
rnacentral:rRNA from 1 species